rnacentral:rRNA from 1 species
GGAGCAGGCGGCACUAAGGGUCUGUGGUGAAAGAUCGAAGCUUAACUUCGGUAAGCCAUGGAAACCGUAGAGCUAGAGUGUGUGAGAGGAUCGUGGAAUUCCAUGUGUAGCGGUGAAAUGCGUAGAGAUCUGGAGGAAUACCGAUGGCGAAGGCAGCUUCCUGGCAUAAUAUUGACACUGAGAUUCGAAAGCGUGGUAGCAAACA